GUGAGGGCGACCUGGCUGGAAAUCUGUCACCCCCAUUGAUCUCCGGGGUUCUUUUGGCUGAUCUGGCUGGCUAGUUGGGUUCCCCUCCUCCCUCGAUGUGCAUCCAUCCUGAAGCUACUUGCCAGAUUGAAGGUCAUGACCUUCCCCCAUAGUGGAGGACUAUUCUUUUAGUGGAGGGUAUGAGUAGCUGAACUCCCCUGCUAGGACCUCCAAAYAAGCUCUCAAGAAUAGCAGCUGUCGGGCUGGGGAUGUGGCUCAAGCGGUAGCGUGCUCGCCUGGCAUGCAUGCGGCCCGGGUUCGA
rnacentral:snRNA from 1 species